GCGAAUGGCUCAUUACAACAGCUAUAAUUUACUUGUUCUAUUCCUUUAAACGGAUAACUGCGGUAAUUCUGGAGCCAAUACGUGCUAAAAGCCGAAUUCAGCAAUGAGCUCGGUGCACUUAUCGGAGCAAAACCCUUCCUGGUUUUAUGCUAACUCUGGAUAACACUGCUUAUCGCACGACCUCGUGUCGGCGAAGUUACAUUCAAGUAUCUGCCUUAUCAACUUUCGAUGGCAGUGUAUUGGACUGCCAUGGUGUUGACGGGUAACGGAGAAUCAGGGUUCGACUCCGGAGAGGGAGCCUUAGAAACGGCUACCAUGUCUAAGGACAGCAGCAGGCGCGCAACUUAUCCACUGUUCAUUGAACGAGAUAGUGACGAGAAAUAACAAGUCCGUUCUCUAUGAGGUCGGACAUUGGAAUGGAUGGAAUCUAAACAAUUCCAUGAGUACCCACGAGAGGGCAAGUCUGGUGCCAGCAGCCGCGGUAAUUCCAGCU
rnacentral:rRNA from 1 species